rnacentral:RNase_P_RNA from 1 species
UUGGUUGAUCGUGUAGCUGCUGUAUUGAUUACAGAGGAAAGUCCGGGCUCCCACAAACAGAGGUGCCGGAUAACGUCCGGCGGCGUUCUUAGAGCGUUAGGGAUAGUGCAACAGAAAAUAUACCGCUGCCUUGGCAGUAAGGGUGAAAUGGUGCGGUAAGAGCGCACCGCGUACCUGGUAACAGGUAUGGCAGUGAAAACCCCACCUGGAGCAAGACCGAAUAGGGGCCUUUUUCUCGUUUCGAGCACGUGUUUGUCGUGAUGAGGUCCGGGUUGGUCGCUUGAGGAUUAAGGAGACUUAAUUCCCAGAUGAAUAGCUACAGAGGAUUUAUUCCAGACAGAACCCGGCUUAUAGAUCAGUCAAACCA